AUGGCCCCAGCCCCUCCGGUCCCGGGUGGCCUCGGCGGAGCGGUGCUGGUAGUGCUGAGCCCUGAGUGCUGCGGAGGGGAGCGGCCAAGAACAGAGGACGUUGGCACGGUGCCACCAGGGCCCCUCGCGGCUUGCCCGGCUGCUGGAAGGAGCAGGCGGAUCCCAGGCUGCCAGCAGAAGCGGCUGCGGCUUCCCCGGCUGCGAGCAGAGACCCCCGCAUGGCUGCAGCCAGAUGGCUGGAGAACUGCCCUGGGAGCAGCGCACGAUGGAGGUGCGCCGGAGCCGCGUGCAUUGUCCCCACCUGCUGAGGCUGGGCACGCGUCACCCCGAUUCCUCUCCCGGCCACCAGCUGCCGUGGCUCGGGGCAGCAUCGCCACCCGCCCUGCACACCGGUGGAUUUCGGAGGCUGCUGUGCUUUGGAGAGGGAAGAGCCUUGUGCAUGAGGACAGCACAGCUUGCCCAGGUUGCCUCCCUCCUCGUGCUCCCUGCAGCCCGAGGGACCUUGCGGAGCGUCACGUAAGGAUUUUGCUUUGGGGUUUGUCUCUCGGAUGUGCCGAGGAGGCGAAGCUGGGGCCCUGGAGCUGCAGAGCCCCAGCCGGUGGUGCCAAGGGGAGAGAUUCAGUCCUGUCCUUGUUCCUGCCUGCACGAGGGGAGCACCAGUCUACAUUUAGCAAUGCCAACAGCCCGGAACUAUACAAACUGCCCCUCUCCUGUGGCCACUGA
rnacentral:lncRNA from 1 species